rnacentral:rRNA from 1 species
CCUACGGGGGGCAGCAGUGGGGAAUAUUGCACAAUGGGCGCAAGCCUGAUGCAGCCAUGCCGCGUGUGUGAAGAAGGCCUUCGGGUUGUAAAGCACUUUCAGCGGGGAGGAAGGCGGUGAGGUUAAUAACCUCAUCGAUUGACGUUACCCGCAGAAGAAGCACCGGCUAACUCCGUGCCAGCAGCCGCGGUAAUACGGAGGGUGCAAGCGUUAAUCGGAAUUACUGGGCGUAAAGCGCACGCAGGCGGUCUGUCAAGUCGGAUGUGAAAUCCCCGGGCUCAACCUGGGAACUGCAUUCGAAACUGGCAGGCUAGAGUCUUGUAGAGGGGGGUAGAAUGCCAGGUGUAGCGGUGAAAUGCGUAGAGAUCUGGAGGAAUACCGGUGGCGAAGGCGGCCCCCUGGACAAAGACUGACGCUCAGGUGCGAAAGCGUGGGGAGCAAACAGGAUUAGAUACCCCUGUAGUC